UCCUAUCAGAGGUAGCAAAGUUGUGUUUGCAAGCUUCAAAGGCUCCGAAUGAUGGGCAGGGUGUUCUUUGUAAAUGUGAUAUGAUAAAUAGUGGUAGCUUCUGACUUUUCUAGAGGACAAAGGGCAUGUUAAGGAGUGACAUUUAAGUUAAGAACCGGACGUGGAAUAGCUAGGAAUACGAAUGCCAGGGAUCAUACUCAGGAUUGGUUUCUCAUCACUCUUAUUCCUAUUAGAUUCUAUCAAUUAUAUCAUCAACUUACCUCAAUCUGAAACUAGCUGCUCCCACUAGAUUCUAUUGCUAUAAAAGUUGAACAAUAUAUGCAUGCGUAAAUAGUUUCGGUGAGUCUUUUGGUGCGACUUUAAUGCCAUUCCAUUCUCAAAUGCAAUCAUUCAUAUCUUUUGUUGGACAUUUUCUUGUCUUUCCCCUGGCAGUAUGUUAAAUCUUGCUAAACUUCAUUUAUAACAAUUGAACCUUUUUUUCGGAAAAUUCUUAAGAGUCUAAGACUGAAGUGCUAGACAUGCAUUUUUCUUCAAUGUGGUAUACUUACUAAAGGAGUCCAAGUAUGUUUGUACACUAUAUAUUGUAAACUGCUGAUAUAAUUCAGUAGGCUGUCAUUUGAUUAUAUGACCAGCUGCUCAGUCUGUACUGCCUUAGAUGUCAUUUUAGUUUUCUUACUGAUUGGUAUUAGAAUAUUGCAGAAACAAAAAUUAUAUAUGAGGUUUCUACUCUACUAAAAUGAAAACGUGUGAAUGUGUUAAACACCGUAAACUGAUACAAAGUAGGUCUCUCAGAUUCUAUUCUCCCAGUGCCCUGGCACUUACUGAUCAACUUUUGUAGUUGCAACAAUUAAGAUGCUUUUCAUCCGUUUUGCAGGAGAACCUUGAUGGUUUAAGCAAUCCUGGAUCACAAAUUCAGGUACCUGAAAAUUUUGCUACUUCAAGUGAAAAAGCAUCACGGGCUGGAAACAGCUCUCUUCCAUAAAACAGGAUAUUUGGUGGCUUCUAUUUGUUCAGUUGUAUUUGUGUGUAUCAAAGUUGCUUUUUAAGGACCCAAAAGUAUUUAUAAGGGGGAAAAGUCCAGAACAUUAUGGCUACUCAAAGCAUCAAAGCAACAGCUUAUACUUGAUAUUAUAAUUAUUCUGCUGCAGAGCUGGUACCUAUGUUGUAUGUUAUGACAUUAAUAGUGAGAUCCACGUAAGUCGUAAUGGUCACUUACUUGAACCCCG
rnacentral:lncRNA from 1 species